rnacentral:rRNA from 1 species
GGGCGAAAGCCUGAUGGAGCAACGCCGCGUGAGUGAAGAAGGAUUUCGGUUCGUAAAACUCUGUUGUAAGGGAAGAACAAGUACAGUAGUAACUGGCUGUACCUUGACGGUACCUUAUUAGAAAGCCACGGCUGACUACGUGCCAGCAGCCGCGGUAAUACGUAGGUGGCAAGCGUUGUCCGGAAUUAUUGGGCGUAAAGCGCGCGCAGGUGGUUUCUUAAGUCUGAUGUGAAAGCCCACGGCUCAACCGUGGAGGGUCAUUGGAAACUGGGAGACUUGAGUGCAGAAGAGGAUAGUGGAAUUCCAAGUGUAGCGGUGAAAUGCGUAGAGAUUUGGAGGAACACCAGUGGCGAAGGCGACUAUCUGGUCUGUAACUGACACUGAGGCGCGAAAGCGUGGGGAGCAAACAGGAUUAGAUACCCUGGUAGUCCACGCCGUAAACGAUGAGUGCUAAGUGUUAGGGGGUUUCCGCCCCUUAGUGCUGCAGCUAACGCAUUAAGCACUCCGCCUGGGGAGUACGGUCGCAAGACUGAAACU